rnacentral:rRNA from 1 species
UAGGGAAUCUUCCACAAUGGGCGAAAGCCUGAUGGAGCAACGCCGCGUGUGUGAUGAAGAGUUUCGGCUCGUAAACACUGUUGUAAGAGAAGAAUGACAUUGAGGGUAACUGUUCAAUGUGUGACGGUAUCUUACCAGAAAGGAACGGCUAAAUACGUGCAAG